GUGGGGAAUAUUGGACAAUGGGCGCAAGCCUGAUCCAGCCAUGCCGCGUGAGUGAUGAAGGCCCUAGGGUUGUAAAGCUCUUUUGUCCGGGAAGAUAAUGACUGUACCGGAAGAAUAAGCCCCGGCUAACUUCGUGCCAGCAGCCGCGGUAAUACGAAGGGGGCUAGCGUUGUUCGGAAUCACUGGGCGUAAAGCGCACGUAGGCGGACCAUUAAGUCAGGGGUGAAAGCCUGGAGCUCAACUCCAGAACUGCCUUUGAUACUGAUGGUCUCGAGUAUGGAAGAGGUUGGUGGAACUGCGAGUGUAGAGGUGAAAUUCGUAGAUAUUCGCAAGAACACCGGUGGCGAAGGCGGCCAACUGGUCCAUUACUGACGCUGAGGUGCGAAAGCGUGGGGAGCAAACAGGAUUAGAAACCCUGGUAGUCC
rnacentral:rRNA from 1 species